UGUACCCUGGUUCCAGAGGUUUAAAAACCUCUGGAACCAGGGUAUGUCUAGUGAUGAGAAUCAAGGAAUUUAUUUUAUGUGUUAAUAUAAACCAAGCCCGUUUAGCCGUUUAG